rnacentral:rRNA from 1 species
GACGUAGGGCGCGAGCGUUGUCCGGAUUUAUUGGGCGUAAAGAGCUCGUAGGCGGUGUGUCGCGUCGGCCGUGAAAACCUGGGGCUUAACUCUGGGCGUGCGGUCGAUACGGGCAUCACUGGAGUUCGGCAGGGGGGACUGGAAUUCCUGGUGUAGCGGUGAAAUGCGCAGAUAUCAGGAGGAACACCGGUGGCGAAGGCGGGUCUCUGGGCCGAUACUGACGCUGAGGAGCGAAAGCAUGGGUAGCGAACAGG